UGUAGGAAAUAAUAAUGCGAGAUUCCAAGAAUUUCUUUCCCGUUUCAGAAAAAUCAAAGAUAAAGAAGCUCAUUUUUUACUUCGAAAUGCAUUAGUUGAUCAUUUGUGGGAAAAUUAUACUAAUUCUAAUGAAUAAUUUAAGUUGAUGUAUUAUUGUGUUUAAGCUAUGUAAUGUAAUUUUUAAUGUAAUAAAUAUUUUCUUUAUAAACCUUGUCGAGUAUUUAUAUAAUAAAAAAUUAAUUGUGGUUAAUAUUGUAUUUAAUAUAAUUAUUACAAUCUGAAAAUGGACUGUUUUGCAAAUAGUAUAAAUGAAAGGUGAUAUUACUAAUUUUUAAAUAAAUAUAAAAUAUAAAAUAUUAGGAAUAUUCUAUUUUGGAGUGGGAAAUGGAGUAAUACAUUGGAGUAAAACUUAACUCUAUUUUGGAGUUACUCCAUUUUGGAGUAGAAAAUGGAGCAAUACAUUGGAGAUGCUCUAAAAAAUUGAGCAUUUGCACUCUACAUAUAAGAAAGAUCGUAUAAUUAGCAAUAUGCACUUUUAUGACUUCCUUAAAUUUCAUUGAUAAUUUUAUGACCGUUAUACCCCUAUUGCUUAAACAAUUUUUAUGCAGUCCAUAUCUUCUUGUAGAUAUUUCUGAUAACUCAUGUUGAUAUAUUUUAUUAUUUUCGAAAAGUUUCCCUUAAUCGUUAAAAUCUAGACAUUCAAAAGACAUCUCUUCUUCUUUUUAUCUUUAUUAUCAGCUAUGUCUCUUCAUUGAUCUAUAUCCAACACAUCUCAAAUCUUAAAAAUCAAAUUGCCUUCGCCAAGUUCCAAAUGGAUCCAAGCGGCAGUGAAAGCUUCGAGGGUUCUGGUGGCUUGUCAGUUGUAGGCGGAGGCUCUGCUUAAGGACGGUGGAGUGGACAGCCGAUUCCGCAAGUCAGUCAUCAGGAUCCCUAAAGUUUGUCUCGAUUGUUGAGAGGUGCUCGUUUGACGGUGGAUCUAUCCAUGGAUUCCUUUUCGGCGUGGUUGCUUCUUAACCGGUGCAUAAGAGGAGGAGCACGUGAUUCUUCGAACUUGUGAGAAGAUGGAGACCCUUUGCAAUCAAUGGCGGAAGAGUUCAAGAGUCGGGUGUUCUUUAUGGCUCUGGCGUUAUGUGGCCGUGGGACCCCUCCGAGAUGGCUUAGCUUUGAAGGUACACCGGUGACAGUUCUAUUGGCUGGCAUGGACACUCCGCUGUAGUGAUGUCCCCGAUAACAUGAUUAGCUGGCCGUCGGUGUCUGUCAGAGGUGGAGGCUCUGCCUCCUUCGUCUUCUUCCCCACAUCUCUUAUAGUUCGCUUUAGAUUUUUUGUUUAGGUGUGUUUUUUCUUUUUUCAUGUAACCUAGAAAUUUUCGUUUCACCGGAGCUCUGGUCUGUCUAUGUCUAUGUUCUAAUUUCUCCCUAGGGGCAUGACAUAUAUUUAACUGUUACAAGUUGAUUUUUUUCUUUUUUUUUAAACUGAUUCUCUGUUACAAGUGGAGUUAACAAACUAAAACGACCAGAACCCUUUGAUAAAUUCCCCUUUUCAACAGUCCUGAUAAAAGAUUAAACAUACUGCUAUCAUCCAAGUUUGAUUACUAAAAUGUUUAGCCUUAACAAAAACAAACUAUCAGGAUAACACACCAAGUAACCGACCAACGAAGAUGCAAU